AUUGAACGCUGGCGGCAGGCCUAACACAUGCAAGUCGAGCGGAUGAGAAGAGCUUGCUCUUCGAUUCAGCGGCGGACGGGUGAGUAAUGCCUAGGAAUCUGCCUGGUAGUGGGGGACAACGUUUCGAAAGGAACGCUAAUACCGCAUACGUCCUACGGGAGAAAGCAGGGGACCUUCGGGCCUUGCGCUAUCAGAUGAGCCUAGGUCGGAUUAGCUAGUUGGUGAGGUAAUGGCUCACCAAGGCGACGAUCCGUAACUGGUCUGAGAGGAUGAUCAGUCACAGUGGAACUGAGACACGGUCCAGACUCCUACGGGAGGCAGCAGUGGGGAAUAUUGGACGAUGGCGGAAGCCUGAUCCAGCCAUGCCGCGUGUGUGAAGAAGGUCUUCGGAUUGUAAAGCACUUUAAGUUGGGAGGAAGGGCAGUAAGUUAAUACCUUGCUGUUUUGACGUUACCGACAGAAUAAGCACCGGCUAACUCUGUGCCAGCCGCCACGGUAAGAC
rnacentral:rRNA from 1 species